rnacentral:rRNA from 1 species
GCCAGACUCCUACGGGAGGCAGCAGUGGGGGAUAUUGGACAAUGGGGGAAACCCUGAUCCAGCGACGCCGCGUGAGUGAAGAAGUAUUUCGGUAUGUAAAGCUCUAUCAGCAGGGAAGAAAGAAAUGACGGUACCUGAGUAAGAAGCCCCGGCUAACUACGUGCCAGCAGCCGCGGUAAUACGUAGGGGGCAAGCGUUAUCCGGAAUUACUGGGUGUAAAGGGAGCGUAGACGGUUAAGCAAGUCUGGAGUGAAAGGCGGGGGCCCAACCCCCGGACUGCUCUGGAAACUGUGUAACUGGAGUGCAGGAGAGGUAAGCGGAAUUCCUGGUGUAGCGGUGAAAUGCGUAGAUACCAGGAGGAACACCGGCGGCGAAGGCGGCCUGCUGGACCGUGACUGACGUUGAGGCUCGAGAGCGUGGGGAGCAAACAGGAUUAGAUACCCCAGUAACA